AACGCACAUUGCGCCCGCUAGUAUUCUGGCGGGCAUGCCUGUCCGAGCGUCAUUUCAACCCAUCAAGCCUAGCGCUUGUGUUGGAGCCCUGCGGCCGCCGCAGCCUCCCAAAAGUAGUGGCGGGCUCGCUAUCACGCUGAGUGCAGUAGUAUUCUUCUCACUCCUGUUGUGUAGCGGGUAACCAGCCGUAAAAUAACUCCCAAAAUGUUGACCUCGGAUCAGGUAGGAAUACCCGCUGAACUUAA
rnacentral:misc_RNA from 1 species